UAAGAACAACCAAAAUAUUCUUCGGAUCGUGCUUCUCCCCAAACAAAUCCGGUAACAAAAAUGUUUUCUGGCCAAAUAUUAGAUGGAAUUUCUACCGUAUUAAUGCAGCAGCAGCGAGCUCACUACAAACGGAACAGAUUUGAUGAAAAAGUAGGACUUGGCUCCAAGAAGCUGGAAGAUUCUCUGUGCGGUCUGGUCGUCCGGUAGGCGAGUGAAACUUUGUGGUGCACGGACCUUCCAUCUUAGGCAAGCUAAGGCCAAGCAACAUACGGAUAUUGGGACGAUUUAAACAGGUGCUAUUUGUCUAUUUGGACUGUUAUGGCGCACUCCAGGCAGCAGCAAACUCUCCCGGCUCAAAACGUGGGAACUGAGUGGGAAUGAUGGUGGUAACGGGACAUGCAAAGGCAAAACCAGCGAGGAAAUGCCUUUUUGGAUAUCAACAAUAGCAUGCAAAUAUAGUUUAUAUUAGGUUAGUUUUAUAUUAAUGAUGAAGUAUCUACAAAAAAGAUCAUUUUGAAAAACCAAAUCCGAAAUCUCUUUCAAUUUUACUUCAUCAGUUGCUUUUUCAUAUUCGAUAAUUAAAGGUGCACAGUUUUGAGGUAAAAAUUAGAAACAGAAUAAAUACACUCAGAAAAAUA